rnacentral:tRNA from 1 species
GGACGGGUGGCCGAGUGGCUUAAGGCGCACGACUGGAAAUCGUGUGGGCUCCUGCCCGCGUGGGUUCGAAUCCCACCCCGUCCG